rnacentral:rRNA from 1 species
GAGGCGGCAAAUAUCCUUUGAUCCGGAGAUGUCUGAAUGGGGGAACCCACCUACUUUAAGGUAGGUAUUGCAACAUGAAUACAUAGUGUUGCAAGGCGAACGAGGGGAAGUGAAACAUCUCAGUACCCUUAGGAAAAGAAAUCAAUUGAGAUUCCCUCAGUAGCGGCGAGCGAACGGGGAUCAGCCCAUUAAGUUAUGUGUGUUUUAGUGGAACGCUCUGGGAAGUGCGAACGUAGAGGGUGAUAUUCCCGUACACGAAAGGGCACACAUAAUGAUGACGAGUAGGGCGAGGCACGUGAAACCUUGUCUGAAUAUGGGGGGACCAUCCUCCAAGGCUAAAUACUCCUGACUGACCGAUAGUGAACCAGUACCGUGAGGGAAAGGCGAAAAGAACCCCUGUGAGGGGAGUGAAAUAGAUCCUGAAACCGCAUGCAUACAAGCAGUGGGAGCACCUUCGUGGUGUGACUGCGUACCUUUUGUAUAAUGGGUCAGCGACUUAUAUUCAGUAGCGAGGUUAACCGUAUAGGGGAGCCGUAGAGAAAUCGAGUCUUAAUAGGGCGUUUAGUUGCUGGGUAUAGACCCGAAACCAGGCGAUCUAUCCAUGAGCAGGUUGAAGGUUGGGUAACACUAACUGGAGGACCGAACCCACUGUCGUUGAAAAGCCAGGGGAUGACUUGUGGAUAGGGGUGAAAGGCUAAUCAAGCCUGGUGAUAGCUGGUUCUCCCCGAAAGCUAUUUAGGUAGCGCCUCGGACGAAUACCAUAGGGGGUAGAGCACUGUUUCGGCUAGGGGGUCAUCCCGACUUACCAAACCGAUGCAAACUCCGAAUACCUA